rnacentral:rRNA from 1 species
AGCUCCAAUAGCGUAUAUUAAAGUUGUUGCAGUUAAAAAGCUCGUAGUUGGACUUCUGGCUGGGCGCCGAUGUGACACGAAGUGCUCACAAGGCACCGGCCAUCCUUCUGUAAACUGUGUCAGGACUUUAUUGCUCUGCAUAGGGAUCAGAUAAUUUACCUUGAGAAAAUUAGAGUGUUUCAGGCAGGCUUACGCCGGAAUACAUUAGCAUGGAAUAAUGGAAUAGGACUAUGGUCUCGUUGUUGGUUUGAGGGAUCGCAGUAAUGAUUAAUAGGGAUAGUUGGGGGCAUUAGUAUUUAUUAGCUAGAGGUGGAAUUCUCUAAUUUAAUAAAGACUAACUUAUGCGAAAGCAUUUGCCAAGGAUGUUU